rnacentral:lncRNA from 1 species
CCUCUUUUUCUUUAUUUUUCUCUUUUUUCUAGUCGGCUAGGCCGGCAGCCCACCUCCCCACCACUCCUCCCCUCUCUCCCGCUGGCCUCUAUUUUUCUUUGCCUCUUUUUCUUUCUUUUCCUCUUUUUUCUAGUCGGCUAGGCUGGCAGCCCACCUCCCCACCACUCCUCCCCCCUCUCCCGCUGGCCUGCCCCCUCUCUCCUCUCUUCUUUUUUCCUUCCCGCCGGGCC